UAGAGGAAGUAAAAGUCGUAACAAGGUUUCCGUAGGUGAACCUGCGGAAGGAUCAUUACUGAAGGCUUAGAGGGUUUGAGACUGUGUCAUUAAUGGCAUGUGCUCGACUCUUACUCUUUUUAUUUAUCCAUAACACCUUUUGUGCACCAUGGGACAAUAUAAAGUCCCCUUUUUCUAUACAAACACCAAGUUAUAUGCAUGUCAUUAUAUGCUCUAAGGAGUACUAUACAACUUUCAACAACGGAUCUCUUGGCUUUCGCAUCGAUGAAGAACGCAGCGAAUGUGCGAGACGUAAUGUGAAUUGCAGAAUUCAGUGAAUCAUCGAAUCUUUGAACGCAUCUUGCGCUCCUUGGUAUUCCGAGGAGCAUGCCUGUUUGAGUGUCGUGAAAUACUCUCAAUUUCAAUCUUUUUGUUUGAAAUUGGAUUUGAAUGUUGUUGUGAAUCAUUCAUGACUCGUUCUAAAUGCAUUAGCGAUCUGCCUUUGAUCACACAACAAUGUGAUAAGUAAAAGCAUUGUUAGAUUGAAGUGGAGAUGGCUUCUAACUGUCUUAAUGGACAAUAACAUUAUUUGACCUCAAAUCAGGUAGGACUACCCGCUGAACUUAAGCAUAUCAAUAAGCGGAGGAAAAGAAACUAACAAGGAUUCCCCUAGUAACGGCGAGUGAAGAGGGAAAAGCUCAAAUUUAAAAUCUGACAGUCUAUGACUGUCCGAGUUGUAAUGUAGAGAAGUGUUUUCCGUGCUGGACCGUGUACAAGUCCUUUGGAACAAGGCGUCAUAGAGGGUGAGAAUCCCGUCUACGACACGGACUACCAGUGCUUUGUGAUACACUCUCAACGAGUCGAGUUGUUUGGGAAUGCAGCUCAAAAUGGGUGGUAAAUUCCAUCUAAAGCUAAAUACAGGCGAAAGACCGAUAGCGAACAAGUACCGUGAGGGAAAGAUGAAAAGCACUUUGGAAAGAGAGUUAAACAGUACGUGAAAUUGUUGAAA
rnacentral:rRNA from 1 species